AUUGAACGCUGGCGGCAGGCCUAACACAUGCAAGUCGAGCGAGUGGCGGACGGGUGAGUAAUGUAUGGGGAUCUGCCCGAUAGAGGGGGAUAACUACUGGAAACGGUAGCUAAUACCGCAUACUAUCGGAUGAACCCAAAUGGGAUUAGCUAGUAGGUGGGGUAAAGGCUCACCAAGGCGACGAUCUCUAGCUGGUCUGAGAGGAUGACCAGCCACACUGGGACUGAGACACGGCCCAGACUCCUACGGGAGGCAGCAGUGGGGAAUAUUGCGCAAUGGGGGCAAGCCUGAUGCAGCCAUGCCGCGUGUAUGAAGAAGGCCUUAGGGUUGUAAAGUUCUUUCGGCAGGGAGGCGUUACCCGCAGAAGAAGCACCGGCUAACUCCGUGCCAGCAGCCGCGGUAAUAC
rnacentral:rRNA from 1 species